rnacentral:rRNA from 1 species
UACAGAGGUCCCGAGCGUUGUUCGGAUUCACUGGGCGUAAAGGGUGCGUAGGUGGUGAGGUAAGUCGGAUGUGAAAUCUCCGAGCUCAACUCGGAAACUGCAUUGGAAACUACCUUGCUAGAGGGUUGGAGGGGGGACUGGAAUGCUUGGUGUAGCAGUGAAAUGCGUAGAUAUCAAGCGGAACACCAGUGGCGAAGGCGAGUCCCUGGACAACUCCUGACACUGAGGCACGAAAGCUAGGGGAGCAAACAGG